rnacentral:lncRNA from 1 species
UGCUAGCAAGAUUGGAAAGUACAUAGCAAUAUCCAUCUGCUAUUGUAUAUUUUAUGACUGCCCAGCUUUAUAAUGAUAUACCCUCUGUAUUGUUGAAGAAAUAUGAUAUAUUGAGCUCAAACUAUUACAAAGUUGGGGAAAAAAAUCAUUGAAUCAACUAGGUUUGCAUAUUAUUUUUAGCUUUUAGCUUAGUAGUUAGCUUAGAAGUGAAAAGAUGAUGAAUUUUUGAUAUUGUUUGGAUUUAAGAAAGAAGUCAAGGCUUUAGGACAUUAGAGAUGAUUCAAUGCUUUACAACCACUAUUUCAAAUACAAACUGGGCCUUUUUGAGAACUUUUAUAACUGCACAGCAGGUUUCCUCUUACUUGCUUAUCCAGGUUGUAUGGAGAGAUUUUCGGUUUUUUAUCAAAAAUUUUUUUAGGAAAUGUGGAAAAAUGUUAUUGAAAU